rnacentral:rRNA from 1 species
GACGAACGCUGGCGGCGUGCUUAACACAUGCAAGUCGAACGGUGAAGCGCCUUCCUUUUUUGUGGGUGUGGAUGGGUGGCGAACGGGUGAGUAACACGUUAGUAACCUGCCCCCUUUUUCUUGAUAACCGCAUGACAGAGUGGCUAAUACGGGAUAUUCUGGGUCUGUCGCAUGAUGGGUCUGGGAACGAUUUUGUUUCGCUGGGGGAUGGGCUCGCGGCGGAUUAGCUAGUUGGUGGGGUGAUGGCCUACCAAGGCGGCGAUGCGUAGCCGGCCUGAGAGGAGGGUCGGCGGCCAUGGUGGUGAGACAAGGCCGAGAAUACUACGAGAGGCAGCAGUAGGGAAUAAUAUGGAACGAGGGGAAGAAGGCUGAAGCAGCGACGCGUGGGUGAGGAAGGUCUCCGUCUGGUUGAGCACCUCUUUUGGGGAUGAAGCAGGGUUGCCUCGUUUGUGGGUGGGUUGACGGUAGCUAGAUAAGAAGCGCCGGCUAACUACGUG